rnacentral:rRNA from 1 species
AUUGAACGCUGGCGGCAUGCCUUACACAUGCAAGUCGAACGGUAACGGGCCUUCGGGUGCCGACGAGUGGCGAACGGGUGAGUAAUGCAUCGGAACGUACCUUUCAGUGGGGGAUAACGCAGCGAAAGCUGUGCUAAUACCGCAUACGCCCUGAGGGGGAAAGCGGGGGAUCGAAAGACCUCGCGCGAUUAGAGCGGCCGAUGCCUGAUUAGCUUGUUGGUGGGGUAAAAGCCCACCAAGGCGACGAUCAGUAGCUGGUCUGAGAGGACGAUCAGCCACACUGGGACUGAGACACGGCCCAGACUCCUACGGGAGGCAGCAGUGGGGAAUUUUGGACAAUGGGGGAAACCCUGAUCCAGCAAUGCCGCGUGAGUGAAGAAGGCCUUCGGGUUGUAAAGCUCUUUUGUCAGGGAAGAAACACCGGCUCUAACACAGUCCGGGAAUGACGGUACCUGAAGAAUAAGCACCGGCUAACUACGUG